rnacentral:rRNA from 1 species
AGAUUGAACGCUGGCGGCAUGCUUUACACAUGCAAGUCGAACGGUAACAGGCCGCAAGGUGCUGACGAGUGGCGAACGGGUGAGUAAUGCAUCGGAACGUGCCCAGUCGUGGGGGAUAACGCAGCGAAAGCUGUGCUAAUACCGCAUACGAUCUAUGGAUGAACGCGGGGGACCGAAAGGCCCGCGCGACGUA